UACCAUUUGAUGCCAAGUGUACAAUCAAAACUGAAAUGAAAAUUGACAGCAGAAGUGUCAUGAUCUUGCUGAAAAUGCUGUGCUCUUCAUUGACCUCUGUUUAAUAAUGGCUUAUGAUAAAAAAAACUACCAGGAAUGCUUCAAGAUGGCAAUGGAGGGCAGUGUAAAAGACACUGAGAAAUCACAAUGUUUCAAACAUCUAGAAUAUGCCCAGAGUCAGUCUUCAAGAUACUCACCUUAAAGGUUCCAGUGUGAUUUAGGAGACUUUGUCAGAACAGUACAUUAUACCUACAUACACUGGAGAUACCAGACCCAACAGAUAACUACAGAUAUAUUUAAACAGAACCUGAAAUUAAUUGCAUAUCCCAAUACAACAUAAUACUUUAAACGGUUAAAUAGGCAGUGAGGCAUUUGUGUGUAAUCUUCAUUUAAUAUUUGAAAUUUCUUUUUCCUUUUUUUAAGUUUGAUUUUGCAUUUAAA